rnacentral:lncRNA from 1 species
UUUUUUUUUUGGAUAAUCAGAAAAUAUAUGAAUAUUAGUACAAUGAAAAAAUAUCGUAUAAAUGUUUUGUUUUUUUAAUAUGUAGACGUAUAUCUUCUGUUUGGUCAUGCAUCUAAGUUAUUUCAUUUUCCAAAGAAUACUGAAUUUUUUCACAACAUUAUAUUAAAAAAAAUAGUACAUAUUCGUUCCUUGCCAUCACUCUGGCAUGGAUAAAAAAAAUAGUGUGACAUUUCAUUUCUCACAGCAUUUUGGAAUGCAUUGUUUUUUAUAUACCGAAGUGGACGAUUCCAUUGAUUAAAGUCGAAAAGAUUCUUUCCAAGAGAUUCUUCAAACGAACCUAUAUCUUUUUCUUUUUUAGAUAAAAUAGAAGCGAAUUUCGAAUUUUCUUCAUUCCCAUCUACAAACUGAGGAUCAAAUCCAUCCUCAGUUUUUUCCUUUCCAGUCACUUGGGUCUCUGCGGUUUGGUACGGAUCUUCUUCCUCUUCAGUUCCCUCCAUUUCGUCAUUUGUUUCUAUUUGUCCUUCUUUUUUUUUUUUUUUUUGGGUAAUGUUUUUAAGUUUGAUAGUAAAAAGAGGUGAGGCUAUUCUUCCUAAAGAAUAGAGGCAGAAAACAAAUAUGCAAAUAUUAAUGACUUGGUCCAUACGAUUUCGUAAAUCUACGAAGAGGUGCUUCAAUUCUACUACUAUCAAAAUGUCAUUAUCCAAUAAAAUUCAUUCAACGUCCAUUAGAGAUUGUAUUAAUUAAAGAGCUAGACGUUUUAUAAUUUUUCAAAUAAUUGUUGAAUCCCACUAAGUGACAAUAUCUAAGAUCUCGAAGUGGACUGAGUAGCGACCCGAAAAAGCUGUAUUAAAAGAGUUACGUACCUCCAACUCGAAUUCCAAGCAAGGAACCCACCCCAUGCGGAGAAGGUAGUCAACCUCCUUAGCCAACGCCUCCUCAGACAACGGGGGAAGGUACGACAGUGUCUCGUACUUCUUCAACCCAAUUGGUGGCCACACCUAUAUACAUUUUCACCAAAUGGUUCAUAUUUGUUUCUAUGUUCAUUCAAAUUCAAAUUCAAGAAGAAAUUAAACUAACCUUCAUGCACUUGACUCUGCUGCCGUUGCUUGGGAUGGUAGAACGGUUGGAGGACCUCUUGGUGACCGGGAAGGCGGAGGAGGAGGACUUGAAUGGUGCGACCAAGCUAGCUUGAACUGCGGCGGUUCUGCCGACGGUGGAGACGCCGGAGGAAGACAUCAAGGAAGCCAUCUCUUAAUUUGCUCUUUGGGGUUCUUCUUGGUAUCCGAUAACUCUUUUUUAGUUCAAAGGAAUGAGCUACUCU